ACACGACUCUCGGCAAUGGAUAUCUCGGCUCUCGCAUCGAUGAAGAGCGCAGCGAAAUGCGAUACGUGGUGCGAAUUGCAGAAUCCCGCGAACCAUCGAGUCUUUGAACGCAAGUUGCGCCCGAGGCCAACCGGCCAAGGGCACGCCUGCCUGGGUGUCAAGC
rnacentral:rRNA from 2 species